rnacentral:rRNA from 1 species
AUUGAACGCUGGCGGCAGGCCUAACACAUGCAAGUCGAGCGGAUGAAGGGAGCUUGCUCCUGGAUUCAGCGGCGGACGGGUGAGUAAUGCCUAGGAAUCUGCCUGGUAGUGGGGGAUAACGUCCGGAAACGGGCGCUAAUACCGCAUACGUCCUGAUGGAGAAAGUGGGGGAUCUUCGGACCUCACGCUAUCUGAUGAGCCUAGGUCGGAUUAGCUAGUUGGUGGGGUAAAGGCCUACCAAGGCGACGAUCCGUAACUGGUCUGAGAGGAUGAUCAGUCAAACGGGAACUGAGACACGGUCCAGAGUCCUACGGGAGGCAGCAGGGGGGAAUAUUGGACAAUGGGCGAAAGCAUGAUCCAGACAUGCCGCGUGUGUGAAGAAGGUCUUCGGAUUGUAAAGCACUUUAAGUUGGGAGGAAGGGCAGUAAGUUAAUACCUUGCUGUUUUGACGUUAACAACAGAAUAAGCACCGGCUAACUUCGUG